CCCCGGGCCCUCUCCAUUUUUCUACAAAUUUACAGACAUUGUCUGUAAAUUUGUAGAAAAAUGGAGAGGGCCCGGGG